rnacentral:rRNA from 1 species
GUGCCAGCCGCCGCGGUAAUACGGAGGAUCCGAGCGUUAUCCGGAUUUAUUGGGUUUAAAGGGAGCGUAGGCGGAUUGUUAAGUCAGUUGUGAAAGUUUGCGGCUCAACCGUAAAAUUGCAGUUGAUACUGGCAGUCUUGAGUGCAGUAGAGGUGGGCGGAAUUCGUGGUGUAGCGGUGAAAUGCUUAGAUAUCACGAAGAACUCCGAUUGCGAAGGCAGCUCACUGGAGUGUAACUGACGCUGAUGCUCGAAAGUGUGGGUAUCAAACAGGAUUAGAUACCCGUGUAGUCC